ACUCCAGACUAUGUGUCCAAAGACCUCUCUCUGUGUCUCUCUGUGUCUCUGUUUUUCUCUCUGCUUUUUUUUUUUUUUUUUUUUUUUCACUUUGCAACAGAGUUCCCUGGAACUCAUUCUAUAGAUCAGGCUGGCCUUGAACUCAGAGCUCCACUUGCCUCUGCCUCCCAAGUGCUGGGGUCAAAGGUGAAGACCAUCACCACCCUCCUUUGUGGGGGAUGUGGAGGUCAACCUUGUGAAGGAAAAAGUGGAAUGGAGAGAGAAGCGCCACAGGAUCGAAGAGCCCUGAUCUGCUGUACUUGGGAUUUGAUCUAAGAUGGCUCCCGGAACACCUGUGAGACAGCAAAAUGGAACACGGGCCAGAUGGUGGCUGCCCCGCCUCUUCACAGAAGUCCUAACAGGUGCUGGGAAUUGAACCUGAGUCUUCUAUGAGAGUAGCCAAUGCUCUUAACCACUCAGCUAUCUCUCUACCUCCACCACUUUUGAGACAAGAUCUUCAUGAAGCACAGAGUUUUCGGGACUCUCGAGUGGUGUAAAACACUGGAAGCAGACGCACUGGGCUGGAUGGACUUGCAGAAGAUGGAUGGAGGUCAGUGAGGUUUACAGCUGUUGCAGCUGCCUGGGUAAGUUGAAUUAGCCUCACGAGUGAGAAACAUGCAUUUCUGAUUUUUUUCAAAUUACUG